rnacentral:tRNA from 1 species
ACCUUCGUGGUGUAGUGGUUUAGCACACUCGACGCGUAACUGAGAGGUCAGUGGUUCGAGUCCCGGCGAAGGCG